rnacentral:rRNA from 1 species
AUUGAACGCUGGCGGCAGGCCUAACACAUGCAAGUCGAGCGGAUGAAGGGAGCUUGCUCCUGGAUUCAGCGGCGGACGGGAGAGUAAUGCGUAGGAAUCUGCCUGGUAGUGGGGGAUAACGUCCGGAAACGGGCGCUAAUACCGCAUACGUCCUGAGGGGGAAAGAGGGGGAUCUUCGGACCUCACGCUAUCAGAUGAGCCUAGGUCGGAUUAGCUAGUUGGUGGGGUAAAGGCCUACCAAGGCGACGAUCCGUCACUGGUCUGAGGGGAUGAUCAGUCAAAGUGGGACUGGGACCUGGUGCAGUGGCCUACGGGACGCGUCAGUUGGGAAUAAUAGGCUAAGGGGCAAAGCCUCAGGCAACCAUGGCGCGCGGGGGAAGAAGGUCUUCGGAGUCUAAAACCCUUUAACUUGGGACGGAGGGGAAUGAAGUAAUAACUUGCCAUUGUGACGGUACCUAAAGAAUAAGCACCGGCUAACUUCGUG